UCUCUCUCUCUCUCUCUUCCCAACCCGACACCGCUGCUCCAUCAGAAUUCGAAACCCAUCUUCACUUCCUUUCGUGUUGGUGUACGGCAUUUAUAUUAUAUUAUCAUGAAGAUCCAUUAUUACAGUUCAAUUGAUGCCGAUUCUCGUGGAAGAUUAUAUGCUAGAAGCGUUUCUUAUGGAAAAUUAAUGAAAAUUGAAAAGAAAAUUUGAAUCUUCUGCGAUAAUGGCGACUCUAUGUAAAGUUUCACGUUCUUCUCUGUAAUUGUACUGAUUCUAAGAAUUACGCAGCUUCAAGACAUGUGUUUUGCGGCCACAGACUGUGAGUCUGGUCUCUACUGUGGCCAAGCUAUAAAGCCCAUUUUAUUGUAAGCUAUAUUUUGUGUUUUACAACAAUUCUGGUGAUGGGUUUUUGUUGUUUUGUGCAAUUGGUCAUGGGUUGAUCAAUGGGUUUCCCUUUAAGCACUCGAGGCUGGUGACUCGUAAUCUUCAGUCAGUGUUAAUGGAUUGGUUUUAUGGCUUUAUUUUGUAAAUUGGGAUUUUUGUUUUGUCUUCUAUACUUUGUAUAUAAUUGACUGGCUUUGGAUUGUUGUGUGAUUAGCUUUGGGGAGAAGCAUUCUUUUUCUUCCGUUUGUAUGCCUGUUCUUACUUUGGUACAGGCAGUGGACAGAGAGAGAUUAGAGAGAACACAAGAGAGGGAUUAUAGUGCUAGGGUUAAAAUUGGUAUUUUCAAAAUUUUAAUUGAUGGCAUCAGCCCUACCUAUUAGUUGACAUAUCAAUUGACUAACGGAGGGAGAAAAUUGUAAUGCGAUUGGAAACCAUAGGGAGGAGAUAUAAUUUGUAGAAGCACAAGGAUAAUAAUGUAUUUGCUAGAAACCUUAGGGGAGGUCACUCCCCGUCUCUUAGUUUAUGGCGAAUGGGUAGCCACAUAAAAGGUGAAGAAAUUCGGUGAAAUACUCUUGGUGAAGUACUUAUAGCAGGUCUCUUUCAAAAUUAUUUUUUUUCUUCAAAAAAAAAAAAAAA